rnacentral:rRNA from 1 species
CAGCCGCCGCGGUAAUACGAAGGGUGCAAGCGUUAACCGGAAUUACUGGGCGUAAAGCGUGCGUAGGCGGUGAGUUAAGUCUGCUGUGAAAUCCCCGGGCUCAACCUGGGAAUGGCAGUGGAUACUGGCUCGCUAGAGUGUGUCAGAGGAUGGUGGAAUUCCCGGUGUAGCGGUGAAAUGCGUAGAGAUCGGGAGGAACAUCAGUGGCGAAGGCGGCCAUCUGGGACAACACUGACGCUGAGGCACGAAAGCGUGGGGAGCAAACAGGAUUAGAUACCCGCGUAGUCCCUGUCUCUUAUAA